UCUCUCCUCUCCUCCAACGGCUCAGCCGGCCGCCGCCCUCCUCUCUCGGUCUCUCCUCUCCUCCAACGGCUCAGCCGGCGCCACCGCCCUCCUCCCUCCUAUCCUCCAACAUCUCCGGCGCGUCUCUCCUCAGCCGCGGAGGCAAAGCCGGCCGCCGGCCGUGGAGGCACAGCCAGCGCGUCUCUCCUAUAUCCUCUCCUCAGCCGUGGAGGCACAACAGACCCCGGGCCGUGGAGGCACAGCAGACCUGCGCCACCGCUGGCCGCCUACCCCACAGCAGAUCUGCACCCAAGACCAGCAGCCAGCCAGCCAUCCUCUGCGGCUCCACUCUGCCAGCGCCCAAGACCAGCACUAGCAGCCAGCCAUCCUCCACCUCCACUGCUCUCCAUUUGAUCAUUUGGUGAGUACUGAUUUUGCUCACAGUGAAUCAAUCAAUCUCUAUUUGCUCAACCAUAUUGGUGAGUACUGAACUACUGAUUGUGCAACCAUAUUGCUCACAGUGAAUUUCAAUUUGGUUUGUGAACUCAAGUACUCAACUUAUGUAUGAACUUAUUUUAUAUUUGAACUUCUAUGUCAAGUCUGAAAAGACGUUUCAACGUUCGUUUAAACGUUUAAAUGUUAAAAAGUUGGUUCAUAACGUUUUAACGUUUUACCGCUUUAAUAACCAUGCUAAUUUCCACUCCAGCACAUAAGGAUUAAGAUAGAUACGUGUAGCCAAACAAGUCCAGUAUUCCCUCUCUUUUAAGACAUUUUUUAGAAAUUGCAAGCUGUAUUGCUUGGCAAGUUUCUGUUUGGGUAUAGGCAACUGUAACCAAUUAAUCAUGCAGAGCAAUUAACCAUGCAGAAGUAAACUAGAACCCAAUAUAAACAGAAAUUAGAGGCAAUAGUAAUAUGAUAUGUACCCAACAGUGGAGCUAUUCAUCUUC
rnacentral:misc_RNA from 1 species